rnacentral:rRNA from 1 species
AUGGCGGAAUGGCAGAACUUCAAAGUCAAGGCGGCUGUUGGCUCUGUUUUACCUCCUGAACCCGGCGCAACCUACCACUGCCGGCCGAUUCCAGAAGGAUAUGCUAGGGUGAUGGUGGAUGAAAUAACGGAGGGAUUUGAGGAGUUCCAGCUUGACCACCCUACCGGUGAAGGGGAGACUCGGCUGGGUUCUGCUCUGAAGACUCCAUGCCUAUGGCGGAAGGAGCUCAUCAAGCUUCCGAACUGGACGGCUCCGACGAGUAAGGGCACUCCGCCUCCUCCUCCGCCUCCUCCUCCGGCGAGUGAUCAGGGCACUCAGCCUCCUUCUCCGGCGCGUGGCAGCACUCCACCACCUUCUCCGCCAGCGCCGGCGCGCCAGAGCAGCCAGCCUCCUCCUUCUCCGCCUCAUCAGCAACGGCGGAAGAGACCCGCUGCCGCUGCGGCUGCUCCGGCGCGUCGUAGUCCUUCUCCUCCGCCUCGUAAGCAAGGAAAGAAGACAGCCGCAGCCGCUCCGUCUGUUCUGCCGGCGUCUAGCAGUACAGCUGCCAGAGGCGGGAGGCAAUACAGAUUCGGUCCUUCUCUGAAGACUCCAGAGAAGUUACCAUAUGAGAGGACCGAGGAGGAAACCAGGAAGAUCGUGGAGCCGAAGUGA